rnacentral:rRNA from 1 species
AUUCCAGCUCCAAUAGCGUAUAUUAAAGUUGUUGCAGUUAAAACGCUCGUAGUCGGAUUUCGGGGCGGCUUCGUCGGUCUGCCGAUGGGUAUGCACUGACGCGGGCGUCCUUCCUUCCGGAGACGCGUCCUACUCUUAGCUGAGCGGGGCGUGGAGACGGAUCGUUUACUUUGAAAAAAUCAGAGUGUUUCAAGCAGGCAUCAUCGCUCUUGCAUGGAUUAGCAUGGGAUAAUGAAAUAGGACCUUGGUGCUAUUUUGUUGGUUUCGAGCACCGAAGUAAUGAUUAACAGGGACAGUCAGGGGCACUCGUAUUCCGCCGAGAGAGGUGAAAUUCUCAGACCAGCGGAAGACGAACCACUGCGAAAGCAUUUGCCAGGGAUGUUUUCAUUA